rnacentral:rRNA from 1 species
GACGUAGGGCGCGAGCGUUGUCCGGAUUUAUUGGGCGUAAAGAGCUCGUAGGCGGCUUGUCGCGUCGGCUGUGAAAACCCGGGGCUCAACCCCGGGCCUGCAGCCGAUACGGGCAGACUAGAGUUCGGCAGGGGAGACUGGAAUUCCUGGUGUAGCGGUGAAAUGCGCAGAUAUCAGGAGGAACACCGGUGGCGAAGGCGGGUCUCUGGGCCGAUACUGACGCUGAGGAGCGAAAGCGUGGGGAGCGAACAGG